rnacentral:rRNA from 1 species
GCCCAGCUUGCUGGGUGGAUCAGUGGCGAACGGGUGAGUAACACGUGAGUAACCUGCCCCUGACUCUGGGAUAAGCCUUGGAAACGAGGUCUAAUACCGGAUAUGUGACGUUCAGGCAUCUGAUGCGUCUGGAAAGAUUUAUCGGUCAGGGAUGGACUCGCGGCCUAUCAGCUUGUUGGUGGGGUAACGGCCUACCAAGGCGACGACGGGUAGCCGGCCUGAGAGGGCGACCGGCCACACUGGGACUGAGACACGGCCCAGACUCCUACGGGAGGCAGCAGUGGGGAAUAUUGCACAAUGGGCGCAAGCCUGAUGCAGCGACGCCGCGUGAGGGAUGAAGGCCUUCGGGUUGUAAACCUCUUUCAGCAGGGAAGAAGCGCAAGUGACGGUACCUGCAGAAGAAGCGCCGGCUAACUACGUGCCAGCAGCCGCGGUAAUACGUAGGGCGCAAGCGUUGUCCGGAAUUAUUGGGCGUAAAGAGCUCGUAGGCGGUUUGUCGCGUCUGCUGUGAAAACUCGAGGCUCAACCUCGGGCUUGCAGUGGGUACGGGCAGACUAGAGUGCGGUAGGGGAGACUGGAAUUCCUGGUGUAGCGGUGGAAUGCGCAGAUAUCAGGAGGAACACCGAUGGCGAAGGCAGGUCUC